rnacentral:rRNA from 1 species
GAUCCUGGCUCAGGAUGAACGCUGGCGGCGUGCUUAACACAUGCAAGUCGAACGGGAAACCUUUUAAUGAAGUUUCGGCAGAUUUAGCUGGUUUCUAGUGGCGGACGGGUGAGUAACGCGUGGGUAACCUGCCUUAUACAGGGGGAUAACAGUCAGAAAUGACUGCUAAUACCGCAUAAGCGCACAGGACCGCAUGGUCCGGUGUGAAAAACUCCGGUGGUAUAAGAUGGACCCGCGUUGGAUUAGCUUGUUGGUG